GUCGAGCGGAAACGACACUAACAAUCCUUCGGGUGCGUUAAUGGGCGUCGAGCGGCGGACGGGUGAGUAAUGCCUAGGAAAUUGCCUUGAUGUGGGGGAUAACCAUUGGAAACGAUGGCUAAUACCGCAUAAUGCCUACGGGCCAAAGAGGGGGACCUUCGGGCCUCUCGCGUCAAGAUAUGCCUAGGUGGGAUUAGCUAGUUGGUGAGGUAAUGGCUCACCAAGGCGACGAUCCCUAGCUGGUCUGAGAGGAUGAUCAGCCACACUGGAACUGAGACACGGUCCAGACUCCUACGGGAGGCAGCAGUGGGGAAUAUUGCACAAUGGGCGAAAGCCUGAUGCAGCCAUGCCGCGUGUAUGAAGAAGGCCUUCGGGUUGUAAAGUACUUUCAGUUGUGAGGAAGGGGGUAGCGUUAAUAGCGCUAUCUCUUGACGUUAGCAACAGAAGAAGCACCGGCUAACUCCGUGCCAGCAGCCGCGGUAAUACGGAGGGUGCGAGCGUUAAUCGGAAUUACUGGGCGUAAAGCGCAUGCAGGUGGUUCAUUAAGUCAGAUGUGAAAGCCCGGGGCUCAACCUCGGAACUGCAUUUGAAACUGGUGAACUAGAGUACUGUAGAGGGGGGUAGAAUUUCAGGUGUAGCGGUGAAAUGCGUAGAGAUCUGAAGGAAUACCAGUGGCGAAGGCGGCCCCCUGGACAGAUACUGACACUCAGAUGCGAAAGCGUGGGGAGCAAACAGGAUUAGAUACCCUG
rnacentral:rRNA from 1 species